CGCACAUUGCGCCCAUUAGUAUUCUAGUGGGCAUGCCUGUUCGAGCGUCAUUUCAACCCUCAAGCUCUGCUUGGUGUUGGGGCGUCUGCAGCUCCGGCUGCAGGCCCUGAAAAACAGUGGCGGGCUCGCUAUAACUCCGAGCGUAGUAAUUUCUCUCGCUUAGGAAGUGUAGCGGCACCCGGCCGUUAAACCCCCCAAUUUCUGAAUGUUGACCUCGGAUCAGGUAGGAAUACCCGCUGAACUUAA
rnacentral:misc_RNA from 1 species